CCUACGGGAGGCAGCAGUGGGGAAUAUUGCGCAAUGGGGGAAACCCUGACGCAGCAACGCCGCGUGAAGGAUGAAGGUUUUCGGAUCGUAAACUUCUGUCGGCAGGGAUGAAGAAUGACGGUACUUAGUAAGAAUGCCCCGGCAAACUACGUGCCAGCAGCCGCGGUAAUACGUAGGGGGCGAGCGUUGUCCGGAAUGACUGGGCGUAAGGGGAGUGUAGGCGGCAUAGGAAGUGAUGUGUGAAAGCCCGCGGCUCAACCGCGGAAUUGCACAUAAAACUGGUAAGCUGGAGUGCAGGAGAGGUAAGUGGAAUGCCCGGUGUAGCGGUGGAAUGCGUAGAUAUCGGGAGGAACACCAGAGGCGAAGGCGACUUACUGGACUGUAACUGACGCUGAGGCUCGAAAGCGUGGGGAGCAAACAGGAUUAGAUACCCUGGUAGUC
rnacentral:rRNA from 1 species